UUUUGGGGAGGGUGCUGGGCUUCUGCUGGGCUUUUUUGGGGUCUGUUUCUGCUGGGCUCCUCUGCUCUUUUGGAGUCAGCGUGGGGUGGCCCUGCUGGGCUCUGGCUGUGUUUUCUUCUUUUUGGUGGUGGUAUGGGAUUGCUGUUGGUGCCCCUGCCCUCUUUGGGUCCAGCACAGGGCUGCUCUUGGCUCCCCUCUGCUCCUUAGAGCCUAUGCAGCACUUUUGCAAAGCAGCUCUCCUAGCCCCUUUGUGGGGUUAGUUAAGGGCAGUUUGCAGGUGCUGCAGCAACGGAGGAGAGCAGAACGGAGCUGUGCCCCUUAGCCCGGAGCUGCUGGGGGUCAGAAGGUUCGCAAGGGGCUGCUUUCAAAACCCCAAAUGCUGGGGAUAUCCAUUUAAUCACGUUUGUUCUCUCUCCUUUUUGUUUCUCUCUUGCAGGGCGAGAGCUCCAGCGAGGAUCAGCCCGCAGUACCGAGCGGCUGUGGCAGCGAUGGGAGCGUGGAGCUGAGUCCCGGGGGUCCGGGAGAGCACGUUCCCUCGUGCCCAGACCUCGGGGGCUCUUUGCUUGCAGCAGGAGGAUCCUUCUGCCCUUCUAUUGGGGUCGAUGCAGUGCUGCUGCUGGGCUCCCCAUCUUCUUUUUCUGGGUUCUACUGGACUCCCCGAGGCUGAGCACAGCCCUGGGGGUGCCCACUGCCCCCCUUGGUUGCAGCAGCAGGGGCGUGCAGGAUGGAACCACGGUUGUCCCCUCCCCAGCCCUAUUGCUGCCGGGAGUAAGAAGCAAUGCCAGGGACAGCUAAGUUGAAAGCAGUGCUUUAAAUCACUUGCUGUGCUUUUAUCUUUUUGAUUUCCCCAAAAAGCUGUUGCAAGGUAAGGCGCUUUGCAGCAGGGAUCAGCCCAGAGAUGCAAGGUUCCCGCUGCACUGGGACUGCAGAGACGAGCACUGGGAUGUGGCGGUGUGAAUCUUUAGUUUUACUCAUGAAUUUUGUUCACAGAACCACAGGAUUGUAGGUGCUGGAAGGGACCUCCGGAGGUAAUGAAGUUAACCCCUCUGCAAACUGCAUCAUAGAGGUGCUCCAGGCCCUGCAUCGUCUUUGUGGCCUUCUGCCGGACUCCUUCCAGGAGAUCCCUCUCUUUGUUUGUACUGAGGAGCCUGGAAUGGGAUGCAGUACUGCAGGUGUGUAGCUCUGCAGCUUGUCCAGGUCCUGUGGAAUGGCAGCACAGCCUUCCGGUGCAUCAGCUGCUCUUCCAAGGGCCUUGGUUUGUGGGUUCCACUACAGCAGCAGCCCCUCAGAGGAGGUUUGAGGAGCUGUUCUCGCCACAGGGGCAGGGCUGGAGCAAGGUCCUGGUGCAGUCUGUCUAAGGGAGGAAGGCUGCCAGCUGUGCCCUUGUCCCCUGUUGGGGUUGUGGGGUGAUGGAGCUGCUUUCUGCAGAAGGUGCAUGGCGUCCAGGAGGAGCUGAGGGGAUCUGGCAGCCAUUGGAUGUUUUGUGUUCCUGAUGGGAGCAGUGGCUUCUGUGAGCAGUGCCAAUUGUCCAGCUUUCCCAGGGUGUGGAGGAGCAGCAUGAUGGGGGCUCCCUGUGCGAGACCAAGGAUUUAAGCUGCUGCUGCUCGGAGUGGUGUGGUUCCCCUUCUGUCUGCAGUAAGCUUGAGGUGGCAGCAGAAGUGGUAGAUUUCAGAUAAUGUCUGCAGGAGAAGAGAACAUGCUUAGCAAGGCAACUCAUGAGGUUUGAUGUAAAGACAAAAGAAAUCUGGCACUCACCCUCUAAUGCUUGGAGAUCUGCUCUUCAUCCUCUGCUCCCUCGAAGCUGCUUCAUUUCAGGUACCCUUAUGCAUCUAGAAGAAAGCGAGUAGCUGCAUUGAAGAAUGUUUUCCAAUAUGUACAAGUUUGUACUGAUAUUGAUGGUUAAAUGUUAUUAAUAAAUGGGAAAGAAUAAAUAUUUGUUACAGCUGACUACUAUCAUUACACUGUGUCUCUACAUAAGAGUAUGUCUAUAUGUUGUUUCUUCUAGAAGCAUGCAAUACAGAACAAGGUGAGCACUGAGAAAGCUGUAGGUCCUGGGAGCUCUGCAGCGUCCCU
ensembl:lncRNA